GUAUUGUGCCUCUUGUUUAUCAUCGAGUAAUACAUGAAUUAAUUCAUUUUUAUAAAAUCAUUUUUGCCAUUUUUCCUAUUCUCUUGUCUUCUCACCACCAUAAACGAUCAAAAUCAGUCCCUUCUCCUUACCAUCUCAUCUCUCUGUGGAGACCCAUCGAGUCGUCAUCAGCUGAAGCAGCAUCCUCCUCUGAAUCAGAUCCAGUUUCUUCCCUCUCUUUCUCGAUUCUCACCGUGAAAACAACACACCCAUCUCCGUCGAUUCCAACACCUAAAAAACCAGUUCACCAACCCCUUUGUGCAUCUAGCCCCGAUAGUCCGUCCCACCAAAAUCCCAAACUCGAAAGCUUCCCUAUUUUCUUCUUCCAUUCACGCGACCUCCACCUGAUCUUGAACCAGAACUCACACAUCCUUCUACUACCCUGACAUAGAGUCAUUCGGGCGCUCCUUUAACAGCUACCCUUCUUCGGGGCUCCACCUCACAGCUCCAAAGGAUACUAACUCUCCUCAUUCGCUAGGACAAAGUCAAGGACUUGGGUAUUCACAGAACUUCCUAUUAAUCGUUUAUUUUUCGUUCUGUUUUCUUUUUGACUCUGAAUGUUCUUGAUUUCGAGAUUAUUUAGUGAUAAAACUUUCUGUGAUCAUGAUUAAUGGCCAAAGUCUGGUUUACCAAUGUUGAGGUUGUGAAACUCUGUGAAGUGGAAUGGAAGGAAUGACAUUUCAUGAAUGGAGAUAGGCUCAGUCAACUUGCUUUGAAUGGGUGUGUGUUGCUGGGGUUCAUUUCACUAAGUGAUUUACGUUAUCUCUUCCUCUGUGAUAUAGAUUUGCUAUGAUUAGCAUCAUGGUGAGCUUUCAGAUUACUGAUUAUUAGUGUUGAUGUUUUGCUGGGUCUGUUUUGAUUAAAUGAUGUGGGUUUUGAGUCUUUCACCCCCUUUCCCUUGUGGUAUUGAUCUUAAGAUAUUUAGGAGCAGGAAUAACAUGUGGAGUUGUUGUUCGUUCCUUUUGAAUAUCCUGUCAUGGAUGUUGCUAUUGAAUAUCCUGUUAUGGGUAUUGUAGAGCGUGUGUUUAUAAGUAUCUUAGAUGUUUUUUAGUCGACUUUUAUUAUGAUAUGGGCUUUAGGUUUCCAAGGAGAAUAUGUUGAGAGUUUGUUCUUCAAGUCUUGGUUGAAAAUAACAAGACAUGGCAGCAAGAUGAACUUCAUUGGUGACAAUUAUCUCGUAUUCAGUGAUUGCAAGCUAGCAAUCAUAACUCCAAAUUCUUUCAUUUAUCUAACAUCUAAAGACGUCAGAGAAAUUUCAUUAUUCGGCUCCAAAAUGAAGCUGGAAUCUAGGUUGAAAGUCAAGAUACUAUUCAUCGGGAUAUCAGAAAUUUUUUUCAACAGUUGUAUAGGUCUACUUCAUUAGCAUAUCCUUCUUCUGUUGUUUUAUUUUUGAUUUUGCGACUUGUUACUAUUGAUAUAAAUGACCGGUUUUUUGUGCCAAUUACAAAUGAUGAAGUGCGAUGUGCGGUCUUUGAUAUGGACAGAGAUAAGGCUCCGAGUUGGUCUAAAUGACAGGCUCUGCAAUGGAUAGAAGAUUAUCUUAUGGAAAAGACGCAAUCUUGGAGAUACAAGCUUCUUUCCCAUGCUAGUAGGGAGACCCAUCUCCAAUCGUUUUUACAAGCAAUCCCUACUUAUUCUAUGUCUAUUUUUCAAUACCCAAAGACUUUUUGUGCUCGGCCAUACUCAUCAAAGGAAAAUUAGCUAGACUAGUUGGGUUGGCUUGUGUAAUUCAAAGUUUCAUGGUAGUCUUAAUUUUAAAGACUUUCAAAAGUUUAAUAUUGCUUGUUUGGCCAAAUAGAGCUAGCGUCUUGUGACCGAUGCUUCUAGCCUUUGGGGACAAGUCAUUAAAGUGUUGUAUUUUUCCCGCUCAUCUUUUUUCGAGGCCACUCAACGCUCUCGUAGUUCUUGGAUUUGGCAAGCCUUAUUAGCCAAUUAUGCCAUUUUGACUAAAAUGGUCUGUUUUAACAUUGGAGAAGGUCGUAACACUUUUCUAUGGGAUGAACCAUGGGUUCCAAGUGUGGUUAGUUUUUGGUUAUCUCGGCCUAGCAACUGCCCUCUUAUGUUUUUGACCGAACUGCUUCAUAGUGGAAUUGUUCUCUUAUUUCUCGGCUCAUUUCACCAGCUCAGGUAAAAGCCAUCCUUGUUGUCCAAAUUGCGUUUGUACAUACUCUUGACUCACUUGUUUGGCAUUUUGAGCAUCAUGGCAACUAUUCUGUUCGGUCUGGUUACCGUCUUUUGGUGCAAGGCUCCUUAUCUAUUAGUUCUUCUUCAGUUUCCUCUAUUCAACGAUCUCUUUCCCCUUCCAUGUGGAAAUGUACUUGGUCGCUGUCCAUCAUUCCCAAGGUCAAAUUCUUUCUUUAACUUGAUAAUGCUGUUCCUGUUUUGAGAAAUUUGGUACAUAGGGGAAUGGCUUUGUUCUCACAUUGUGUUGUGUAUCACUGUGGACCAGAGAUACUCGAACAUGCUUUGUUCUGGUGCCCACAUGCUUUAGUUACGUGGUUUCUCAAUCCUUGUGGCUAGAAGCCAUCUACAGUUGGUUUUCCAGGGUUUUCUUCUUGGUGGGAGCAGUUAUGACAACAUUUUGAUAGUGAGUCAGAUUGUACAUACCUUAUGUUGUUAAUACCUCUCACGGCACAUUUGGAAAUCUGGAAGUAUGGGUAUCUUUGAUCACUCUUCACCAGAUCCUACUUAUACAGUGAGGCCGAUGCUGCUAUUGCUGUUACAAUUCGCAAUGACUCUGGACAGCUGGUUGAUGAUUUGGUUAGGUAGCUUUGGUGUUACUCACCUGCGGCCUGUGAGGCAAUGACACUUCUAGAAGCUCUUCCUUUGGCAAUGAGUCAAGGUUACUACCAUGUCAUAUGUGAAGUUGAUUAUGCUAUUUUGAUUUCUGCUCUGUCUUAGCUACCUACCUAUGUCUCUUGAGAUAUUAGAGUUUCGGUUUGUGCUAUUUUUAAUAUUGCGCACUUUUAAUCUAUUUCAUUCGGUCACAUUUUUAUUCGACUAAUGUUAUGGUAGAUAGGUUAGUGUAAUAAAGUUUUCAGUAGCAAAUGUCUUUUUUAUGUAUUGUCCAAAGUCGUAUCUAGUUGUGUUUGAGUUGCGGCCCUGUAAUAUAUUUUUGCAGGUAAAAAAAAAAACACACUAAAGCUAGGCUUAUAGUAUUUGAUUUAAUGGAACUUUCAUUUUUCUGUUUAA